GCCGAUGUAGCUCACCGGGUAGAGCGGCCGCCUCGUAAGCGGCAGGCAGGCGGUUCGAGUCCGCCCUUCGGCUC
rnacentral:tRNA from 1 species